rnacentral:rRNA from 1 species
GCAUAUCAAUAAGCGGAGGAAAAGAAACCAACAGGGAUUGCCUCAGUAACGGCGAGUGAAGCGGCAACAGCUCAAAUUUGAAAUCUGGCGCAAGCCCGAGUUGUAAUUUGCAGAGGAUGUUUCGGGUGAAGCCACGGUCCAAGUCCCUUGGAACAGGACGUCAUAGAGGGUGAGAACCCCGUACCUGGCCGUCGGUGCCCCCCGCUGUGAAACUCCUUCGACGAGUCGAGUUGUUUGGGAAUGCAGCUCUAAAUUGGUGGUAAAUUCCAUCUAAAGCUAAAUACCGGCCAGAGACCGAUAGCGCACAAGUAGAGUGAUCGAAAGAUGAAAAGCACUUUGAAAAGAGAGUUAAAAAGUACGUGAAAUUGUUGAAAGGGAAGCGCUUGCGGCCAGACUUGCCCGCGGUUGCUCAGCCCGCCUUUUGGCGGGUGCACUCUUCCGCGGUCAGGCCAGCAUCGGUUUGGGCGGCCGGAUAAAGGCGCCGGGAACGUGGCCUCCCCUCGGGGAGGUGUUAUAGCCCGGCGUGCAAUGCGGCCAGCCCGGACCGAGGUUCGCGCUCUGCUAGGAUGCUGGCGUAAUGGCCGUAAGCGGCCCGUCUUGAAACACGGACCAAGGAGUCUAACAUCUAUGCGAGUGUUUGGGUGUCAAACCCGUGCGCGUAAUGAAAGUGAACGGAGGUGGGAACCGCAAGGUGCACCAUCGACCGAUCCUGAUGUCUUCGGAAGGAUUUGAGUAAGAGCAUAGCUGUUGGGACCCGAAAGAUGGUGAACUAUGCGUGAAUAGGGUGAAGCCAGAGGAAACUCUGGUGGAGGCUCGCAGCGGUUCUGACGUGCAAAUCGAUCGUCAAAUUUGCGUAUAGGGGCGAAAGACUAAUCGAACCAUUUAGUAGCUGGUUUCCUGCCGA